GACGAACGCUGGCGGCGUGCUUAACACAUGCAAGUCGAACGGAAAGGCCCUGCUUGCAGGGUACUCGAGUGGCGAACGGGUGAGUAACACGUGGGUGAUCUGCCCUGCACUUCGGGAUAAGCCUGGGAAACUGGGUCUAAUACCGGAUAGGAGCCAUUUUUAGUGUGAUGGUUGGAAAGUUUUUUCGGUGUAGGAUGAGCUCGCGGCCUAUCAGCUUGUUGGUGGGGUAAUGGCCUACCAAGGCGGCGACGGGUAGCCGGCCUGCGAGGGUGGACGGCCACAUUGGGACUGAGAUACGGCCCAGACUCCUACGGGAGGCAGCAGUGGGGAAUAUUGCACAAUGGGCGCAAGCCUGAUGCAGCGACGCCGCGUGGGGGAUGACGGCCUUCGGGUUGUAAACUCCUUUCGCUAGGGACGAAGCUUUUUGUGACGGUACCUAGAGAAGAAGCACCGGCUAACUACGUG
rnacentral:rRNA from 1 species